CCUAAUCAUUAGAAAGUAUCAUUUGACUUCUGCUGUACGUGAUGGGCAUCCAACUGUUUGGUGUUGUGCUGAUCUUCUUGUCUGUAGGGCUGAAUAUACAGACAGCAGAGAGCUGCCGCUGUUCACUCAGUCACCCCCAAAAUCAAUUUUGCACUUCUGAAAUAGUGUCACGGAACAGAAAGACUCAGAUGCAGGAUCGAGCAAAAAAAGGAUAACAGAAAAACAACAGAGCACUCCGAGUGUCUGCCUUAGCUAACAGUAGACCGAGGGUAAAGCCGAAGCACAUCCGACCAGCAGCCCUCAAGUGAUUUUAGCUAACGUAACCGGAGGGAGGAUUCCUGUUAGGAAUCAUAUCAACUUGGUUCGGUAUAGAAUCGAAAUAAUCAAGAUACAUCAACGUGUGGCAUCAAACUGGCUUAUGGGCAAUACGUGCUUACAGGGAACCGGUUUGAAGGUGGGAUCAAGGUGAUGAUGUGUGGCCUUGUCAAGAAAUGGGAUUACCUCUCCUUAAAGGAAAAGGAAAACUUCAAACAAACGUAUAUGAUGGGCUGUAACUGCACGAUCUCUAGGUGUUCUUGCAGUCCAUGUUGUCCCCAAUCUGUGAAUGAAUGUAAGUGGGAUGCCAAAUCUCCUCAGUCUCUGGAGUACGUCUGUCUGAGGGACAGUGACGGCAUCUGUAGCUGGUACAUACCACGUUCAAAAGUUGAUGAAGAUGCAAUGUGCGAAGUAGAGAUCCUCGGAUCCACCAUGCAUAAGCCUAGAUUUGAAAUCUGAUAUAGA